rnacentral:rRNA from 1 species
CAAUAGCGUAUAUUAAAGUUGUUGCGGUUAAAAAGACUCGUAGUUGGAGUUCUGCCAGGUGCCGCCUGUCCGCCCCAGUGGUGAGUACGUGGCGCGCAUUUGGCCCUUUCAAGGGGAGCGUAUCUGCACUUUAUUGUGUGGUGCGGGAUCCUUGACUUUUACUUUGAAAAAAUUAGAGUGUUCAAAGCAGGCAAUCGCUUGAAUACAUUAGCAUGGAAUAAUAGAAUAGGACUUUGGUUCUAUUUUGUUGGUUUUUGAGAACCAGAGUAAUGAUUAAUAGGGACAGUUGGGGGCAUUCAUAUUUCAUUGUCAGAGGUGAAAUUCUUGGAUUUAUGAAAGAUGAACUUCUGCGAAAGCAUUUGCCAAGGAUGUUUUCAUUAAUCAAGAACGAAAGUUAGGGGAUCGAAGAUGAUCAGAUACCAU